GUCUAUGGCCACACCACCCUGAACGCACCCGAUUGUCUGAUCUUGGAAGCUAAGCAGGGUGGGACCUGGUUAGUACUUGGAUGGGAGGAGGGUGAGGGUGGAGUCAGCCCCCUUGGCAAGCCAGUGCAGCAGUAGUUG
rnacentral:rRNA from 1 species